rnacentral:rRNA from 1 species
AGAGUUUGAUCCUGGCUCAGAGCGAACGCUGGCGGCAGGCUUAACACGUGCAAGUCGAGCGGGCGUAGCAAUACGUCAGCGGCAGACGGGUGAGUAACGCGUGGGAACGUACCUUUUGGUUCGGAACAACACAGGGAAACUUGUGCUAAUACCGGAUAAGCCCUUACGGGGAAAGAUUUAUCGCCGAAAGAUCGGCCCGCGUCUGAUUAGCUAGUUGGUGAGGUAAUGGCUCACCAAGGCGACGAUCAGUAGCUGGUCUGAGAGGAUGAUCAGCCACAUUAGGACUGAGACACGGCCCAAACUCCUACGGGAGGCAGCAGUGGGGAAUAUUGGACAAUGGGCGCAAGCCUGAUCCAGCCAUGCCGCGUGAGUGAUGAAGGCCCUAGGGUUGUAAAGCUCUUUUGUGCGGGAAGAUAAUGACGGUACCGCAAGAAUAAGCCCCGGCUAACUUCGUGCCAGCAGCCGCGGUAAUACGAAGGGGGCUAGCGUUGCUCGGAAUCACUGGGCGUAAAGGGUGCGUAGGCGGGUCUUUAAGUCAGGGGUGAAAUCCUGGAGCUCAACUCCAGAACUGCCUUUGAUACUGAAGAUCUUGAGUUCGGGAGAGGUGAGUGGAACUGCGAGUGUAGAGGUGAAAUUCGUAGAUAUUCGCAAGAACACCAGUGGCGAAGGCGGCUCACUGGCCCGAUACUGACGCUGAGGCACGAAAGCGUGGGGAGCAAACAGGAUUAGAUACCCUGGUAGUCC